AGUUCCAAUGAGCGGAAAUCACAUGCGGCGCCGAAAAGAAGCGCCUUUGUUUGACCACAAAAAAACCCCUUAAAACAGUGUAGACGUCGAGAUAGGGUCCCUUCUUCAGAGAGUUUCUAAAUUGGUAGUGUCUUCACUUAGUGGGCUUCAAGGGCAAGAAUUCAAGCAGCUUUCGAUUCAGUUAAGAAGGGUUGCUAAUUCUUCAAAUGUUCACUUUUGCUUCCCAGAGUCCACCCAUGUGUGGAGCUCCUGGAGGAUUAAAGUGAAGUUGAUUUUUUGGUGUGCUUCACUUGUUAUUACUUGCGUUUUGAGUGAUUUCAUGAAGUCUCGCCGAUCGCUGAUUAAGAGCUGAAACGCUCCAACGAAUUUAAUUCCAUUGUCUGAGUAAAGAUCGGCGGGACAUCUUCGCCUGGAAAAAAUGCGAGUGAAUGCGGUCGUGAAUGGGGUAAUGAGAUCGGGUAAUGGGUAAUGAGAUCGCUGACCGGUUCUAGGUGUAUUGCUUUGGUUGCAAAACACACAAAUACGUACACAUAAAAAUUUGUUAUCAAGCAUGCUGUUCCCGUGUAAUUUUAAUGUCGUAUGGACCGCCGAAUAUGAAUGAGGACAAGACGAAAUAUCGAAUGAAGACAAGACGAAAUAUCUCCUGUCAUCAAGCAAACAGUCGGCGCAUUCUCGUCUUGGCUCCCACGUCACUGUUGACAGUCAUAACUUCGAAGUCGUAGAUAAUUUCGUAUACCUGGGAACCAGUAUCAACAACACCAACAAUGUCAGCCUCGAAAUCCAGCGCAGAAUCACUCUUGCCAACAGGUGCUAUUUUGGACUGAGUAGGCAAUUGAAAAGUAAAGUCCUCUCUCUGCCAAAAUCAAACUCUACAAGUCGCUCAUCAUUCCCGUCCUGCUUUAUGGUGCAGAAGCUUGGACGAUGUCAACAUCAGAUGAGACGGCACUAGGAGUUUUCGAGAGGAAAGCGUAAGCUUUUUCAGAUGCAUUAGAGAAUCCAUGAAAGCUGAUUAUCACUGAUAUCGAGAAGUGGGUCCACCGGUGAAUUUUAAUAAAAUUAAGGGUUUCAUAAUCCUUUAUGAAGGUUUUCCAUCGAUGUAGAGUUAAAGGUUUUAGACUCUCAUCCCAAUUGGUUUUAUCGAGCCAUAUCUGUUGCAUUAUUAUUUUGGCUGUGAUUAUAACGGGGCUGAGACAUCCAGCUGGGUCAAAUAAUUUUUCUGUUGUCGAUAAAACUUCUCUCUUAGUAAUUGAAGUCUUAUCUGGAAUAGGGUUGAUAAGAAAAAAUAAUGCGUCUGUUUUGGCAUUCCUAUUCCCAGGGAUUUAGGCUAUCGGUUUCGGGUAAACUGAAUAAGUUGGUGUACAAAAAAAUCCUCUGAAGGGAUUCCAUGUGUCUGGAGUUGCCCAAUUCGAUGUUUUCCGGGUUUUUAAAGGGUAGAGUUACUACAUAUCGCACUGUUGAGUGUUUGCGGGUGGUUUUUUCAUAAUUCUACUCACACAAGAUAUCGAAAUUUGAGGGUAAGGGCUUUCUCGGAAUUUCUUCUACUUCCAAUUGUGUUAGCAGCUUAUUAUAGAGGGUAAAAUGGGUUUAUCUGCCGUGGGCGAGGAAAGAAUCCAGGCCGAAUUCUGUUUCUUGGGCUGUAGUGUGCCGAAAACAUUUCUCUGUACCCCACCGUACAUUUGUGGGUACAAGUCACUUCCAAUAAGGAUGUCAAAUGGUCUGGGUUUGUAAAUGUAUAGGUCCGCUAAAUUGAAACCGAGUUUCAUAUUGGCACUUGUUGGGCGAGUGGGUAAUUGGGCAAAUUAUCCGUUAAGGUUUUUAAAUAAAAAGCCGGGGGAUUUUAUCUUAAACUCUUUGUUUGUUGGGUGAGUUCGCAAGUUUUGGUAACUUUUGGGGAGACUGUGUUAUUUAAUGCUGUCACUUGCGCAUUUCUUAAGUUUGUUGGUAUUUCCAAUCUCCUUUGGAAUUUUUCCGAAAUGAAUAUGGCCUCUGAGCCUGAGUCUAUAAGAGCUCUAAGUAUAGUUGUCCUUUGUUGUAAACUUGCACACUAACAAAAUCGGCUAUCUACAUGAGCUGAGUGGGUUUUGGGUUCUAUUUGCGUUGGACUGCAACAGGGUGGUUUGAAUCAAGAGCCGGGUUUGAGGCUCUUGGUCCUUGCGGCUGGGAAUGAGGUCUGGGUGUCACCUCUUUGUUAAGAAGAGUGUGGUGUUUCCUUUUGCAUAUUCUGCACAAGUAUUUGCUCUUGGAUCCUUGGAAUUAUGCGAUAAUGCAAGGCAAUUAUAACAAUAACCAUUAUUUUUUAUGGUAGUUAUUCGGUUCUCGACAUAUAUUUUUUAAAUUUUAGGCAUUCCCGAAUGGAUUGUUGUGUUCUACACAAUUUACAACUCUCAAUAAGUACAGAUCUUUUCGAGGAGUUGUUGCUUCUAAUAGGGUUUUCGAUAGAUUAUAAAACAGUUAAAGUUGAAACGUUCGCAUGAAAGGUGUUAUAUUUCCUGUCCAUUCCUAUUCUAGAGGGUCCACUUUCGGAGUGGGUAGCUGGAACGGAUUCAGUCAGAUUUCCUACAGUUUCCAGGGAUUUGGAUCGAUGGGUAAGGGACGCGUCGAAAACUUUCGGAGUUGUCUUCCAGGUUGUCUUAAAAUUGAUGCUGCAGGGUUUUGGGUAAGAAUAUUAAAAUACUGUCCCAACUGAUGGUAUCUAUAUAUAUGUACAUUAUGCAGAUUUGUCAAACACUUCUUUACAAGCUCUCUGAAGGUGUUUGACCGCCCUUGCGCUUUCCUGGUUUGCUUGGGGUAGAUUGAACAAAACUUUCAAUUGCGCGUUAACUUGCUUAUUUUCAUUUUGUGAUAUGAGGUCCCUCCAUGCCAUCACGAAACCAUCAUAUGUUAGGGAGGCGUUUUUAUUCGCUCUUGUAUCUUCUCGGGUUUUUUGAAUUAGGUGAAACAGUCUCUCCACGUUGCUAUUUUUUUAUUAUUUAUAUAUAUGGCCGUAAAUAUGUUAUAUAUAUCAGUAUCACAUGGGGGUAGAUUUAAUGAGGAUCCUGGGCCCAUCAAUGAUUUUUCUUCUGACGCUCGUUCCUUAAUGACUGGAUUUGGGGUCUUGAGAUCAUUAAUCGUUUGGUUGAUUGAUCCCAGGCAUUUAAAUAAUAGCUGAUGCCCUCUUUUGAAUUUAUCUUUUACUUAAGCCAAGUCAAUAGUUUCGCCGGAUUUCUGUGGGGCUCUACGAAAGGUAUCGUACGACUUAUUAUUCUUGUCGUCAAUGGCAUUCAAUUCAAUUCUUAUCUUUUCUUUAUCUAUAUGUAUAUAUAAAUGACAGUCCGGUUAGUUACACUAUUUAUAAUUCAAGAACGGCUGAACCAAUUUGGCUUAAAUUUGGUUUGAAGGUAGCUUAGCACCGAAGGCAUUCCAUAUAAAACACAAAUUUACUAACACAAAUUUACUAUACAAAUCAUCAGAAUAGGCGUUCAUUUGGUAAGAUUAAAAUAGUAUAUUCAGAAUACUGUUCAAAUAGUUUUAUAUAGUAGCAGAUAUUUACAAAUACCAUAGAUAGGCAAUAUUGCUUCAUUUUUAUCUGUUUAUUUUUUAGUUUUUUAUUCACAUUUGAUGUUUAUGUUUUAUAUUGCGUGAAUCGAAACCUGUAUGUAUAUGAAUUGCAUAGAAACCGUUUAGCUGGUUACAGCUGAGUUGAUGAUAGCGCGCCACUCCUCUCUUUCCCUUGCAGUUCGGUGCCAGUUGGAGAUCCCAAGUGUAACCAAGUCGCUCUCCACCUGGUCCAUCCAACGGAGUGGACUCCUUCCCCUUCCUCGGCUUCCUCCGGCUGGUACUGCAUUGAACACUUCCAGAGCUGGAGUUUUUUCGUCCAUUCGAACAACAUAGUCAUAGUCAGCUUAGCCGCUGUCUUUUUAUUCGCUGAACUAUGUCAAUAUCGUCGUAUAACUCGUACAACUUAUAAUUCCAUCGUCUGCGGUAUUCGUCGUUGACAAUGUUCUGAGGACCAUAAAUCAAACAAGUAUCGAAAAAAUAGUUAGCUAUAAUUAAAUGUAAAAAUCUUGCAUCCGUUUCUUUAAUUAUUUUAUUCAAUUGCAUAUAUCGAGAUCUCUUUACUUCACGUGAUGUAUUUAAAAUAUGUACGAUUGAAGAAAACUAAGCAACAGCCAAAAAAAAAUUCCAGCCGAUGGUCGAGUAUAGCAUGUGACAUUCUGACAAACAGAUGAAUACAAUAGGGCCAUUCAGAAUCUUGUGCAAAUGCUCUUGCAUCUUUGCAAUUGCAAAUUAGCGAGCAUAUUUAUAUAUUUGCUUUUAACCUAACAAAAUGUACAGGGAUGCAAUUGCUACACCCUUGCAAAUAAGCAACACUAAAACACUAUUGUAUUGUGUGAAACACUGUUUUGCAAAUUAUCAGAGGGAAAUAAAGGGGACUAUUUGCAGGAAGCACCAGAAAUGGAGGUACCGACAGAACAAUUUUUUUUAUACACUACAUGGGAGCUGAUUCGGUGCAAAGUGAGGCACUUGAAAACCUCUUUUGAAAAAGUAAGCGAUUGGCGAAAGUCAACAGGAGCAGGCCUUCUCGAGUCCAACUUUGGGAUGUCGAGUGUUGAAGGCAAAGUGCUGCAGAUGUGCCCUCAUUUUAAUCAACUCAACGAUAUUUUUGGAACAAAACGUUCAGCUGCAUUGUCUUUUUAAGUGUUCGUUACUGGCAACGCGCCCAUCAUGGACGACAGCGCGACUUUAUAAAUAUUGGAAGCAACUAUUUGCGAUGUGGGAGAAGAAAAUCAAUAUUUAAUUGAUCUUAUCAAUGACGAAAAUCUACCAUCAGGCAAUGUAAGUCAAAUUCCACAAAAAUCUUGUUGCUUUCCAAGCAGAUGGAAAAGAAAUGUUUAAAAUUAAAAUUGAAUUGAAAAAAGGAGAAAACCCCAAAUGAUUUCGGUUUGAGUGAUAGAAGAUUGCAAGCAGAUAUUGAAUACAAGAAUCGUGAAUUGGAUUUAAAAAUGUUAGAGUUGGAAAAAGACGAGAGAUUGAAAAAACUUCAAAUUAAAAAAGAUAAGUAAGAUAAGUUUGAAAUUGAGAUGAAAUAUAAGUAUUCCUCUCAACAGUAAUUUAUAAACAACUUCCCUUUCUUUCUGCUUACAAUCUUUUACCACCCCAAUCUAAACUAAUUACUUUAAUUUAAUUAUCGGAUUAUUUUGUAUACAAUAAUUUAAUGUAUAGAUAUAUUAAUGUAUAUUAUUUAAACAUAUUGACAGAACUGAGAAAUGAAUUAA